GCGGAUGACGGUACCGGCAUAAGAAGCACCGGCUAACUACGUGCCAGCAGCCGCGGUAAUACGUAGGGGUGCGAGCGUUAAUCGGAAUUACUGGGCGUAAAGCGUGCGCAGGCGGUUUUGUAAGACAGGCGUGAAAUCCCCGGGCUCAACCUGGGAACUGCGUUUGUGACUGCAAGGCUAGAGUACGGCAGAGGGGGGUGGAAUUCCACGUGUAGCAGUGAAAUGCGUAGAGAUGUGGAGGAACACCGAUGGCGAAGGCAGCCCCCUGGGCCAAUACUGACGCUCAUGCACGAAAGCGUGGGGAGCAAACAGGAUUAGAUACCCUGGUAGUCCACGCCCUAAACGAUGUCAACUAGGUGUUGGGAGGGUUAAACCUUUUAGUACCGUAGCUAACGCGUGAAGUUGACCGCCUGGGGAGUACGGCCGCAAGGUUAAAAACUCAAAGGAAUUGACGGG
rnacentral:rRNA from 1 species